rnacentral:lncRNA from 1 species
GUCUGAAUUGGCUUCCAUUCACUUCACAGGGUAUCUCUAAGUGCUGGAGCACGUGAUUUUCAAUUCUACUCCCAACAACUUGGGAGGGGAAAGACCACAAAUAUUGAAAAAAUGACUUUGAUACAUUACAGAAAGCCUUGUAACUAGUGGUGUGACAUUUUCAUUUAGAAAGAUCCCCAAAAUCUCAUAUCAAAGCCAACAAGAAGCCUUGUGCAGGCAGCCCUGAGGUUUGGUUUGAAAUCUUGAUCCUGAUCCAAUUUAUGCUGGUUAGUUCAUCCUAAAAGAAUCAAUGUGUAGGAUCCUAACGUGUUCCAAUAAAGCAGCAUCCUUAAUUUGUUCAGUAUCUCAGGUAAAUUAAAAAUUAAUAAUAAUUAACUGGACUUUCUCCACAGCUCUGGUUUCUUUUGCACUGUCCCUACCCCUCAGGAGCUGACUGCAAGCUCACACAGGUGAUGUUCCUUAAAUCCUUAACUUCCAGAAGGACAGAAUUGCAUCAGAACCUCCACUUUCAGCUCACUCAGCUCAGUUCAUCUCAUCUCUUACCUGGGCCAAGACAAGUGCUGCCCAUCUCACCCUUCAUGGAGAUCACUGGACAAGAGGAGUCGAGGCCACUGUCUGCUGUGAGCUUCCCAGCUGGUCCACCUGGGAAUUGUAAAAUUCCCUUUCCACGCACAGGUAGGAAAUCACAUUUAGUAUUUCAGCCAGUGGGGUAGAAAUGGGGGCAGCACCUCAGAAGCUGCUUCUCAACCACUCCCUGAUUUUCAGCCCAGCCACAGUGGCACGUUGGGAGCUGUUUCAGCAGGCACCAGGCUCCCUGAGAGCCCGAGCCCAGGCAGGGAGCAGCGUGCUCUGGCCACGUUGCCUCCAUCCUGCCUGUCCCAGCUCGCCCUGAACCGCCUGCCUGUCUGCCCCAAAAAUCCCUCCUCGCUGCUCAAAGGAUAUAAAGGGAACGUGGGGCAAAGCACAGAACAAUUCUUCGGCCUCUGAAGCUGUUAAAAAUAUUUUUGAUAAAGGUACACAUAAGCACAGCUGAGCUCCAGUGAACACCUUCUUGUUUCUCAUGGUAAUUUUAUAUUGUUCCUGAAGCAGAGCCUGAUUUUUCUCUUUGUGAAAGGAGAAUUUUAAUUCUGGUCCUAUUCAUUAAUCAUAUCAAAACCCAAGGUAUGCAGAUGUUAUUUUUCAGUAAUUUUAAGGUGCUGGUGUAUUAGUAAAAGAUUAAGAAAUGCAAAAUAGCUGUAAAGCGUUUGGGUUUUUUCUUGAAGUGUUUGGUUUCCUCACAUUAUUGCAGACUGCAUAUAUCUUUAUUUCUCAGUAAGAGCAAACUGUGGUCCUGAACCUCUACAAUUCCAAAAACAAGCAAAGAUAGUGACUUUUUGAAAGUAAAGAUCAAAUAGUUCCACGAAAAAUGAGCACUGUCACAAAAAGAAGCAUAAACUUCUCCUGCCUAGUGGUGGCUUCCAAGACAUCAGACAUUUUGUAAACCAGCACUCGGAUCCAGACCACGCAGAAUUGGGAUGGUCCUGCUUUUCCUGUUAAUUUUUCCACUAUGAGAGUGUCCAAAACUCUCUGAAAUAAAGGAUUGCUGUCAAGGGGUUCA